GGCCAUGAGCAUGAGAGGGGACAAAAUGUUAUGGGGUGAAACAUGUUGGAAACAUGUUGUGUUAGUGUGUUAGGGGAGAAAGAAUAAAAUAAAGGGGUUAGUAAUAAAGAAAUGAAAAGGGAGGGGUGAUGAGAAAAAAAAAAAAAGGUUGUCUCAUCCAUGUUCCCCCCCCAUUGCCGUGACUUGAGAAGCAAAAGAAAAGAAGAAAUCGGUUCUUCUUAGCUGAAAUGAAAAGAAGAAGAAAGGAAUGAAGCUAGAAAGGAGAGGGCAGCUGUAUGUAGUGGAAAACCAUGGAAUUUGUUUGCUUAGAAGUUAAAAUUUUCAAGUAGAAGGCUAACAAGGUAGGAGAAGGUGGUAGUAGACAAGGGAAAGAGCAAAUUGAAUAGGUGGAAUCGGUGUUGGGAGCCUUGCUUAAGAGCAAAGAGGAUCAAAGUCGGAUAGGGGAAAAGAGAGUAAACGAAUAGCCGUGGACAUCUAAUCGUCGACCACUCCCGAGAUUUUGCUCGUUAGCUAUCGGAUUCGGGAUCAUUGAAGUCGAAGUCAUCCACACUAUCAAAGCCCCCAUUUUGGUACAAUUUUGGUUGAACUUUGAAAUGGCAUGUAUAGGACUACCCUUUUGUUGUAGGUUAUGUACCUUUCGGUUUUGUGUAAAUUCGGAUAGCCAUGCGAAAAUGGCUUAUAUACGUUUCUAGCAUAGUACUAUAAUCGUUUGUAUGUUGAUCAUUAUGAGGUAUGGAAUUGUUUUGAAACGAUUAGCCAUUGGAAUGGUUAAUCAUGAUCACACCUUGUGCUAUGUAUGCAAAA